rnacentral:other from 1 species
UAAAUUCUGAAAUAUUCGUUAAGCUCUUAUUUUGAACCUACGCAUUAAUUUGGGGAGUUCAAUAUUUAGAUGAAGAAAUGUACUUUCAAUUGAGUCCUUUUACGGCAUUGAAGGCGAUUGAGGUAUCUGUGAGGACACCCACCUAUCGAAAGAUAGGGAUCAAAAUUAGAGUAUCGGUAUUUUGGAUAUCAU